GUAGGUGAACCUGCGGAAGGAUCAUUAUCGAGUUAGGGAUCCCCUCGAGGGCCCGACCUCCAACCCGGUGUUUAAACCUUACCACUGUUGCUUCGGCGGGCCCGCCCGUAACACGGCCGCUGGGGGGUCACUCCCCCGGCCCGCGCCCGCCGACAGCCCACAAACCAAAACUCUUACAAACCGUGUCAUGUCUGAAUACAAACUAUAAAUAAAGCACAAAACUUUCAACAACGGAUCUCUUGGUUCUG
rnacentral:misc_RNA from 1 species